rnacentral:rRNA from 1 species
UAGUCAAGCGAAGGGGUGACGCAGGAAGGUAGCCGUACCAGUCAGUGGUAACACUGGGGCAAGCCGGUAGGAGAGCGAUAGGCAAAUCCGUCGCUCACUAAUCCUGAGAGGUGACGCAUAGCCGGUUGAGGCGAAUUCGGUGAUCCUCUGCUGCCAAGAAAAGCCUCUAGCGAGCACACACACGGCCCGUACCCCAAACCGACACAGGUGGUCAGGUAGAGCAUACCAAGGCGUACGAGAUAACUAUGGUUAAGGAACUCGGCAAAAUGCCUCCGUAACUUCGGGAGAAGGGGGACCGGAAUAUCGUGAACACCCUUGCGGUGGGAGCGGGAUCCGGUCGCAGAAACCAGUGAGGAGCGACUGUUUACUAAAAACACAGGUCCGUGCGAAGUCGCAAGACGAUGUAUACGGACUGACGCCUGCCCGGUGCUGGAAGGUUAAGAGGACCCGUUAACCCGCAAGGGUGAAGCGGAGAAUUUAAGCCCCAGUAAACGGCGGUGGUAACUAUAACCAUCCUAAGGUAGCGAAAUUCCUUGUCGGGUAAGUUCCGACCUGCACGAAUGGCGUAACGACUUCUCAACUGUCUCAACCAUAGACUCGGCGAAAUUGCACUACGAGUAAAGAUGCUCGUUACGCGCGGCAGGACGAAAAGACCCCGGGACCUUCACUACAACUUGGUAUUGAUGUUCGGUACGGUUUGUGUAGGAUAGGUGGGAGACUGUGAAACCUCGACGCCAGUUGGGGCGGAGUCGUUGUUGAAAUACCACUCUGAUCGUAUUGGGCAUCUAACCUCGAACCCUGAAUCGGGUUUAGGGACAGUGCCUGGCGGGUAGUUUAACUGGGGCGGUUGCCUCCUAAAAUGUAACGGAGGCGCCCAAAGGUUCCCUCAACCUGGACGGCAAUCAGGUGGCGAGUGUAAAUGCACAAGGGAGCUUGACUGCGAGACUUACAAGUCAAGCAGGGACGAAAGUCGGGAUUAGUGAUCCGGCACCCCCGAGUGGAAGGGGUGUCGCUCAACGGAUAAAAGGUACCCCGGGGAUAACAGGCUGAUCUUCCCCAAGAGUCCAUAUCGACGGGAUGGUUUGGCACCUCGAUGUCGGCUCGUCGCAUCCUGGGGCUGGAGCAGGUCCCAAGGGUUGGGCUGUUCGCCCAUUAAAGCGGCACGCGAGCUGGGUUUAGAACGUCGUGAGACAGUUCGGUCUCUAUCCGCCGCGCGCGUCAGAAACUUGAGGAAACCUGUCCCUAGUACGAGAGGACCGGGACGGACGAACCUCUGGUGCACCAGUUGUCCCGCCAGGGGCACCGCUGGAUAGCCACGUUCGGUCAGGAUAACCGCUGAAAGCAUCUAAGCGGGAAACCUUCUCCAAGAUCAGGUUUCUCACCCACUUGGUGGGAUAAGGCCCCCCGCAGAACACGGGUUCAAUAGGUCAGACCUGGAAGCUCAGUAAUGGGUGUAGGGAACUGGUGCUAACCGGCCGAAAACUUACAACA